CGCCUGGGGAGUACGGGUGAGGUAACGGCUCACCAAGGCAUCGACGGGUAGCUGGUCUGAGAGGAUGAUCAGCCACACUGGGACUGAGACACGGCCCAGACUCCUACGGGAGGCAGCAGUAGGGAAUAUUGCACAAUGGGCGAAAGCCUGAUGCAGCAACGCCGCGUGCGGGAAGAAGGCCCUAGGGUUGUAAACCGCUUUCAGCAGGGAAGAAAAUGACGGUACCUGCAGAAGAAGGUGCGGCCAACUACGUGCCAGCAGCCGCGGUGACACGUAGGCACCAAGCGUUGUCCGGAUUUAUUGGGCGUAAAGAGCUCGUAGGCGGUUCAGUUAGUCGGGUGUGAAAACUCUGGGCUCAGCCCAGAGACGCCACUCGAUACUGCUGUGACUAGAGUGCGGUAGGGGAGCGGGGAAUUCCUAGUGUAGCGGUGAAAUGCGCAGAUAUUAGGAGGAACACCAGUGGCGAAGGCGCCGCUCUGGGCCGUAACUGACGCUGAGGAGCGAAAGCGUGGGUAGCAAACAGGAUUAGAUACCCUGGUAGUCCACGCCGUAAACGUUGGGCACUAGGUGUGGGUCUCAACCAACGAGAUCCGCGCCGUCGCUAACGCAUUAAGUGCCCCGCCUGGGGAGUACGG
rnacentral:rRNA from 1 species